UUAUUUUGAAAACUUAUAUGAAUUUAUAAACGUUUUCGUUAGUGUCUAUAUAGUAGUUAUAUCAUUAAAAAACCCCUUGGCUUCUAGUAAAUACAUGAAGGCAACAUCUCCGUAUGGAAUCAAACGAAUGGGAAACUUGAGUUUGAUCAAAAAAAAAGUUAACUCUAUGAAAGAGGUGCCAUUGAACUCCAACGUAUACAGAACAGUUUGUGGCGACGACAUAAAUGUUACCGGAUAAUAUCUUCAAACCCUGCUCUUAAACUUUAUUUUUAUAUACUAACCAGCUGUAUUGCAUGGUAGACGAGGCCUUCCGGGCUCGGACUUCCGCCGUUUAACCUACAGUGGUAGAACGCUACAACCCACCUCCAUGAGAGGUGUAAUAGAGGCAACCUGCGGAUACCGAACAGCACUGCUGCCAGCCUGGCCACCCCGCGGAAUCUUAUUUUGAUUACGCUGAAGUUUUUAAAGAAGCUGGGAGCGGUACAUUUAAACAGGAUAGGCUGAGAUUUACCCUUUCGACUGCUAAGCGGGCGUAGAGAGGACCUACAGCCCAAUAAACUAUUCAUGGAAAAUGCCAUCCUCGUUCAAUUUGAAGCGUUUGUCCGAAAUCCUCUUUCUAUUAAUAUAAUUUAACCGUUUUUAACUUCCAUUUUUGUUACCAUCCUGCCCUCGCUUAUCACAAUUUAUAGUUAAGUCGAAAAAGGCAACGAUGAAAAAACAAAAAACCUGAAGCUUCAUUGAAUGGAAAGCUGGCGCCGCAUUCAACUAGAAUUCUUGUGUUUUUAUAAUAUUGUCUCGAAUUAAACUAAAGGCACGGAGAAACUCGAAUACUGCAACUUAAAACUUAAACUUAAAUGAAAGUCCCACAUGUUAUACGUUGUCAAAUGCCUUUUUGGACAUUAAGCAAGACGCUUUUAUGGUUUUUUUACUUUCGAACACUAAAAACUUGUUCAACUACGCAUAGAAAUGGAAUGCCCCCUUCGAAAACCAUACUGUUCUGCUUAAACUGGUUGUGUUUAAUAACCUUAAUUUAGUCUUCC